rnacentral:rRNA from 1 species
UCCUGUCUGAAUAUGGGGGGACCAUCCUCCAAGGCUAAAUACUCCUGACUGACCGAUAGUGAACCAGUACCGUGAGGGAAAGGCGAAAAGAACCCCGGCGAGGGGAGUGAAAAAGAACCUGAAACCGUGUACGUACAAGCAGUGGGAGCACAGAGCAAUCUGUGUGACUGCGUACCUUUUGUAUAAUGGGUCAGCGACUUAUAUUCUGUAGCAAGGUUAACCGAAUAGGGGAGCCGAAGGGAAACCGAGUCUUAACUGGGCGUUAAGUUGCAGGGUAUAGACCCGAAACCCGGUGAUCUAGCCAUGGGCAGGUUGAAGGUUGGGUAACACUAACUGGAGGACCGAACCGACUAAUGUUGAAAAAUUAGCGGAUGACUUGUGGCUGGGGGUGAAAGGCCAAUCAAACCGGGAGAUAGCUGGUUCUCCCCGAAAGCUAUUUAGGUAGCGCCUCGUGAAUUCAUCUCCGGGGGUAGAGCACUGUUUCGGCAAGGGGGUCAUCCCGACUUACCAACCCGAUGCAAACUGCGAAUACCGGAGAAUGUUAUCACGGGAGACACACGGCGGGUGCUAACGUCCGUCGUGAAGAGGGAAACAACCCAGACCGCCAGCUAAGGUCCCAAAGUCAUGGUUAAGUGGGAAACGAUGUGGGAAGGCCCAGACAGCCAGGAUGUUGGCUUAGAAGCAGCCAUCAUUUAAAGAAAGCGUAAUAGCUCACUGGUCGAGUCGGCCUGCGCGGAAGAUGUAACGGGGCUAAACCAUGCACCGAAGCUGCGGCAGCGACGCUGAUGCGUUGUUGGGUAGGGGAGCGUUCUGUAAGCCUGCGAAGGUGUGCUGUGAGGCAUGCUGGAGGUAUCAGAAGUGCGAAUGCUGACAUAAGUAACGAUAAAGCGGGUGAAAAGCCCGCUCGCCGGAAGACCAAGGGUUCCUGUCCAACGUUAAUCGGGGCAGGGUGAGUCGACCCCUAAGGCGAGGCCGAAAGGCGUAGUCGAUGGGAAACAGGUUAAUAUUCCUGUACUUGGUGUUACUGCGAAGGGGGGACGGAGAAGGCUAUGUUGGCCGGGCGACGGUUGUCCCGGUUUAAGCGUGUAGGCUGGUUUUCCAGGCAAAUCCGGAAAACUAAGGCUGAGGCGUGAUGACGAGGCACUACGGUGCUGAAGCAACAAAUGCCCUGCUUCCAGGAAAAGCCUCUAAGCAUCAGGUAACAUCAAAUCGUACCCCAAACCGACACAGGUGGUCAGGUAGAGAAUACCAAGGCGCUUGAGAGAACUCGGGUGAAGGAACUAGGCAAAAUGGUGCCGUAACUUCGGGAGAAGGCACGCUGAUAUGUAGGUGAAGCGACUUGCUCGUGGAGCUGAAAUCAGUCGAAGAUACCAGCUGGCUGCAACUGUUUAUUAAAAACACAGCACUGUGCAAACACGAAAGUGGACGUAUACGGUGUGACGCCUGCCCGGUGCCGGAAGGUUAAUUGAUGGGGUUAGCGCAAGCGAAGCUCUUGAUCGAAGCCCCGGUAAACGGCGGCCGUAACUAUAACGGUCCUAAGGUAGCGAAAUUCCUUGUCGGGUAAGUUCCGACCUGCACGAAUGGCGUAAUGAUGGCCAGGCUGUCUCCACCCGAGACUCAGUGAAAUUGAACUCGCUGUGAAGAUGCAGUGUACCCGCGGCAAGACGGAAAGACCCCGUGAACCUUUACUAUAGCUUGACACUGAACAUUGAGCCUUGAUGUGUAGGAUAGGUGGGAGGCUUUGAAGUGUGGACGCCAGUCUGCAUGGAGCCGACCUUGAAAUACCACCCUUUAAUGUUUGAUGUUCUAACGUUGACCCGUAAUCCGGGUUGCGGACAGUGUCUGGUGGGUAGUUUGACUGGGGCGGUCUCCUCCUAAAGAGUAACGGAGGAGCACGAAGGUUGGCUAAUCCUGGUCGGACAUCAGGAGGUUAGUGCAAUGGCAUAAGCCAGCUUGACUGCGAGCGUGACGGCGCGAGCAGGUGCGAAAGCAGGUCAUAGUGAUCCGGUGGUUCUGAAUGGAAGGGCCAUCGCUCAACGGAUAAAAGGUACUCCGGGGAUAACAGGCUGAUACCGCCCAAGAGUUCAUAUCGACGGCGGUGUUUGGCACCUCGAUGUCGGCUCAUCACAUCCUGGGGCUGAAGUAGGUCCCAAGGGUAUGGCUGUUCGCCAUUUAAAGUGGUACGCGAGCUGGGUUUAGAACGUCGUGAGACAGUUCGGUCCCUA